AAGUACAGACAGCCCAGAGCUGAGGCACUCGGUCGCCCCUCCUAUACAGAAAUAGCGCGACUACAUCGGUUUAACAGUCCGGAAACCUGCUCGAUUCGGCGGCAGGGCGCAGAAUAACGAAUAACAGCGUAUCAUUCAAAUGCGAACAUUUCCCACAACAGCAACACUCAUCUCGUCUUGUAUGGCCCACACCAGUUCGUGUAUCAGAUCAACAGUCUAUUAAAAUAAGUCCGAUCCUAAGAUGCCCAGGGACAACAUGCGGGAGAAAAAAACAUCUGCAGGAUUCCAGUACAAAACACCACCAAGGCCACACUGGGUAUUCUACCUAAAUUAAAGAUGCUAAGAAACAACACCACUGUCGCCAUCACUUCCUUUACCUCUUAAAUCAUUCUUAAGGCAGGUUGAAGACUUC